AACUAACGCUGGCGGCGUGCCUAACACAUGCAAGUCGUACGAGAAAGCCGGCUUCGGCUGGUGAGUAAAGUGGCGCACGGGUGAGUAACGCGUGGAUAAUCUGCCCUUAAGUGUGGAAUAACGUACCGAAAGGUGCGCUAAUACCGCAUAAUGCCUGGCAACACAAGUUGUCCGGCCAAAGAAGGCCUCUGUUUACAAGCUUUCGCUUCAGGAUGAGUCCGCGUACCAUUAGCUUGUUGGUGGGGUAAUGGCCUACCAAGGCUGCGAUGGUUAGCUGGUCUGAGAGGAUGAUCAGCCACACUGGAACUGAGACACGGUCCAGACUCCUACGGGAGGCAGCAGUGAGGAAUAUUGCGCAAUGGGGCAACCCUGACGCAGCAACGCCGCGUGAGUGAGGAAGGUUUUCGGACUGUAAAGCUCGUCGAGCGGAAGAAGUGUACCAUGGCUAAUAUCCAUGAUAUUUGACGGUACCGCUAGAGG
rnacentral:rRNA from 1 species